rnacentral:rRNA from 1 species
UACGGGGGGGGGCAAGCGUUGUUCGGAAUUACUGGGCGUAAAGGGCUCGUAGGCGCCAACUAAGUCAGACGUGAAAUCCCUCGGCUUAACCGGGGAACUGCGUCUGAUACUGGAUGGCUUGAAUCCGGGAGAGGGAUGCGGAAUUCCAGGUGUAGCGGUGAAAUGCGUAGAUAUCUGGAGGAAUACCGGUGGCGAAGGCGGCAUCCUGGACCGGCAUUGACGCUGAUGAGCGAAAGCUAGGGGAGCAAACGGG